AUGACUUUUCUAAGUGGUAGCUUCAGAAAUGUACCAGGGAACAUAAUAAUCUUUUCUAGACAGAGCCUUGUUCAGUUGUCAGAAAGGGAUGCUCAGUUUUUGUAUGGGAGGGAGAUUAAGAAGAACCCUUGUGUGUAUACUUUCGGUGCCGGCACCAAGAUGGAGAUCAAACGGUCCGAUGUUAAACCAUCAGUUUUUAUGUUCCCACCAUCUUCGGAUCAGUUACAGACCGAAAGCGCCACUUUAGUGUGCAUGAUAAAUGACUUCUACCCCAGAGACAUUCAAGUGACGUGGAAGGUGGAUGGUGUCACCCAGACAGAUGGCAUCCAGAACAGCUUCACAGAGCAGGACAGUGGGGACAGCACCUACAGUCUCAGUAGCAUGAUGACACUCCCCACUACCAACUACAACAGCCAUAAUCUCUACACCUGCGAGGUCAGCCAUAAGACCCUGCCCUCUGCCCAUGUGGAGAGCUUCAAAAGGAAUGAGUGUUAG